ACACACUCACCACACGGUACAACAACACUGGAAAGAAAGCUCACGUUUAAUUGAUUGUUGUUGACGUGAGCUCCCCCUCUAAUGACAGUACAGUACAGUCAAAAAUUGUGUCACCGCUGCUUACUGCGUGCUGCUAGUUCACGUGAUUUUUGUCACGUGAGAGGCUCAGCUCAGUCUGGAGGAGAGCUGUGUCUUCUGGUAGAAAACAGGUUGAAGGUCGUUCAAGGCAGCUGUUGGGUCAGCUGGUGGCUAAUCACAGAGAGUGACAGCCAGGAGGCUCCCACAUCUUCAGGGCUCCUCUGGAACCCGAUUCACCUAGCGACCUUCCCCUUUCCCACUUUUCUAGAAAACAGUGAGGAACAUUUUUGAGUGUGGAUUUUUUUUGGUGUUUUUUUUUUUUUUUUUUUUGCCUUGAACAAGUGUCAUCAACAGCUUAACGUCAACAUACAUGGGCUCACAGACUUGAACACGGUGUGAACGCCUUGGGGAAAGUCUUGACUUCAGGACAUGAGGAGGCACCAAAGUUGGAGCAGGACCACCCUCACCCUGCGCCAGUGUGCAAGCGAUAUUUAUGGCUCAGCAUCC